AGUGCCAGCUGUAUGACUCUUGGCUACAAAAAGUCUCACUGUACAUCUGUCUGGACCAGCUCCAGGUCUGAUCUGGAAAGCUGAGUGAUCAUCCCUUCAGCAUCUUUCAUAUCACAUAUGCCUAUCUUACUUCUGACAGCUGCAGAAUAAACAUGGGGUUUCAUGGAGGAGAGCAUGUGAGUAUUCCCUUGGAUAAUGGUUUCGUGCCACUUAGAGGUUAAUGUUCCCAUAUUUUUUUAACUAAUUAAUACCUCCAUGAAGGAAAUCUUAAAAGAAAAUGGUCCUUCAGUUGUUUGGUUACUCAGCAACUGUGGGAAAAAGGGAUUGCAGGACGCCCACUGCAAGCUGUCUGCAUGGCAGUUAACUGAAUGUUUGGUUAUCUGAACAGGCCUUUUUUAUGACUAACUAAAUGCCAUUUAACAUGAAAUUUGCAACUGUCUCAGCUGCUCAUUCAUUGACUGUAUCAUUACUAUUCUCAUGUCAUUCAGUUGUAAUGAAGAAUGAGAGACAAAUUGGUUUAUCACUGGCAGAAAGAAUGAUUGUAGCACACCUAAAAUCUGAUGACAGUUAGUGUGUAAAUGCGACUGCCUUCUGCCUGAAAGAGAAACAGAGAAGUAAAACAGCAGAAGACUUUCUUACACACACAACUUGCUGGAGAAUUCCCAAAAGAAUGACAGGAAAAUGUUCUUGCAUGGCAAUGCCACAGACCUUGCUCUGGGAAACUGGUUUCUAAGACAUUAUGAGCACCAGGAACUACAGAAAUGAACCAAGACCCAUAAUGGUCACCCAAGACUUGGGAUGCAUAGAGGAUAGCAAAGGAAAUUCAAGUUAUGUUAUGACAUAUGGGGUAAAUCUUUAAGUGACUAUUAGGCUAUUAGGAAGGUUAGCACUUCUUUUUAGGAAAGUGGGUGUCUGAAGGUGAUAGGAUAUCGAAAGCUUAUGCAAGACAGACCUAUCGGAAAAAUCCCUGGCUCACUAAAAAACACCUGUACGUCAAGAGGAAACCCAUGUCCCCACCUAAAAGACAGGCAAGGAACAACUCAAUCUGUUGAUAGCUGCAAAUACCUGUACAGUGCACAGACUGCCUUUGGUAUGUAUGGGAAAAGCACUGAACAGUCAAGUCACUGUCUGAAACAUACAUGACAGUAAACUUUGUCAUUUACUGUUUCAGAAACAUGAUUCCAAAGGUAUUUCAUUCUACUGAGAUAUUUGUUUUAAUGGGCUUGUUCUAGAAGUCUAUAAACAGUCAGUAUCUACUGAACCUCUCAGCAAGAGCUUUGCUUCUUCUCAGCCAUGUCCAUAUCAUUCUCUGAUGGAAAUGCUCAAGACUUAAGAUGAUGCAAUCCACUAUAUACUUUUGACUGUGUUUAACAUCUAAGUACAACACCAGUCACCCAGGGUCUUCAAGCUGUACAUCAGAAAGGAACCUGCUCAUCAGCUUCUUGCUGUGAAUGCAAAAAAAAAGGAGAGUUACUUUUGUGAGCCAGAUGACGCUUCUGAUAUUUUUGGAAGGAAGAAUGUUAAAUUUUCUGGGUUUAGACAAGGAAGGAUUUAGAAGGGAAAAUGAAGCACAGCAUCCAUUCUGUAUAAGAAAAAAGAUCCCUCUGCAAAUCACGUUUGCACUUUCUGUGCACUUUUGUGAAGCAACUUUGCCAUCUCAGUAAAACACAGGAAAGGUGUUUUGCUACCAAUAAGUACCAGCCAGCACCUUCUUGCACUAAACAAGCCCUUCACCAUGCAGAGGGGACAAGAAAAAGGUAUCCAUCUUUUUGACCAAUUCAGCACUGACUGUGUAACAUUAUCUCUAUUUAGCAUCACCCAGAGAGCAAAAGUGUAGAGUGGAAAGUGUUUGUGCUGAAGGCCAUGCCUACGCACUAAGCCUUUCAAGGGGGUCUUGCUUUGCACUAGCUGUAUGUGAUACCAUGGACCGAAUGCCCCUGUGCCGUUGAGUGCAUUCCUGUUUGUUUGAAAGGGAUCCAAUUCACAUCCUCCAAAACUCCUCUGUGAUCACAGUCAAAGCACUGCACAUGGAGACAUUUGCUUCAAAAGUCCCAUCCUGAUCCGCACUAAGUUGCUAAUGGAGACACAGCCAGCUCAGGGGUCUCCCACUGUCCAUUCACCUGGCAUGGCAGAGACACCUGGGGAGCUGAAAGGGACAGUGAAUCCCCACUUUUAUAAUGUGUCUGGCAACACUUCCACAACUUCUCACAGUUGUAAUACUGUCAGCAUAAUUUUCCAGCUCUAACAGUGAUGGCCUCCAGGUCCAUGCAGUCUGGAUCUUUUUAUCCCUUGAGCCCUACAAGCCAACUGCGACUGCACAGAAUACAAGUUAAGGUUAUUCUAUGUUCUACAUCCUUGUAAGGACAUUUGUCAUGUGGUCUCCCUUUGCAGAAACCACUGGGAUAUCGGCACGGACCCUGAGCAGAGCCAGCUGUCUGCCCCGCCAGCACCUUGAGGCCCACCAGUACCCCUGCGCAGUCGAGCCAUGCCAGUUGAGACCAGACAGAUGCUGUCAUUCGUGGGAUGCUGGAAGCAUCUGCGAAAGCAGCAUGAAUGCCAGCUGUCACCGAGGGUCAAGGGCCUUGUGAGGUCUGUUUCUGCCCACACCUGGCUGAAAUACCCCAUGCUGGAGAGCAGGGAGACACCAAAAAAGCUCUGGUUACCUUCCGAAAAAUAAACCUUUGGAGGAUCUGCUGCACAGACCCCAGCCCUCGCAUCCGUGCUCACAGUGGGCAUUGCCUAUGGAAAGAGCGGAUGAGCCAUCAGCCCGGGGUGCACCUCCUGCCCCAGCCCUCCUCCCCCCUGCUUCCCAGCGCAGCCACCCCACAGGGACUCCUCUGAAAGAUGACUGAAAACAAUAACAUUGGUAAUAGCUGAUCUGGAUGCGCCUCAAAUAUUUGCCCCAUGAUACAAAUGCUUGUCGUUAUCCCACGAACCAUCCUCCAGACAAAUGUUUUGAAUUUUCUGUUUCCAGGAACGAGCUCUCGGGAAUGGCCUGGAGCAGCUUUCCCAAACAUGUUAGCUACCUCGAGCCAGGCAGGUAGCUCUGCCACACAGGUAAAACCCUGCCCUCGUACCCUGACCGAGCUGCCUGCUCACCCACCUUUCCACAGGGACGCGGGCAGGACAGAGCAGGCAGCGAGGACAGGGCCAUGGCCCGCUGGGGCGAUGCACGGUGCAGACGCCGGCUCUGCGCAGGCUGCUGCUGGGCACCGAGCAGAGGCAGGACCCGGCGGGCUGCAGUCCCAGGCGCUGUGCCGGGGUGCCAGAGGCAGGUAGCUGUACAGUUUCUGAUGGCAGCCCACGGGACGGGCAUCCUUGCAGGUCCUCACAGUCUCCCAGGUCUGUUCCCGUGUUAUCCUUGGGACGUGACAGCAUCCCAUUAUCAAACCUCUCCCUAUGGGAAACUUCCCCCACAGCGGAGUUUGGUCCGGCUCUCAUAAUUAUCACACCUAGGCUCCAGUCUGCAGGCUGUUAACAGCAGCCCAAAUUAACAAACCUCACAUGCCACCACGCAGCACCAACAAAUACAAGCUUCUCACUUAUUAAGCACGGCCUUAUGAGGAAGUAUUGUUACAAUGAGCUGCAGCUCAAGCUUGGCAUGAAGAUAAAAAUGAACACAGGAAUAGCAGGCAAGCAAAAGUGCAUGCAGAAUAGAAGUUUGAAGGAGAAGCAGGGCCAGGAACAAUUGCAAUGCCUUCCAGGAGCCCCAUGGGUUAAAGAGGCCUUCAGAUACUGAGAAAUUCAGGAGACCUCUUAGGAAGAACUUGCUGUGGAGUUAGUAAAAGCUGUUUUAGGACUCUUUGGACUGAGAUGGCCAUCAAAAAUGAGCAGGUAAAUUUUUUGCUGAGAUGCAGUGCACUGUGUUGCUGCUGUAGUACCACUUUCACCAAAAGGAGUUGCUGUGCCACAACUCAGGGUCUGUCCUGUGGGACAGGAGCCUUGCAGAGCUCACAUGAAAUGUGAGGCAAGUAAGCCUGAGCCCUUGGAUAUACGCAUCUGCUCUGCUUGACUUCCGAACAGGCCUGACUCCAGAGAACAGGUGCUUAGCAUGCUCCAAAGUUCACAUCUUUUGAAAGACAUCCCCACUAGUCAUCCCAAACCACUAAUGGUUUUGCACAUCCUAGCCUCAAGUCUCAGUCUUCUCAGCAGACUAAUGCCAAGGACAGUAAGGCUGGCUGAGAGAAGCAGCUGAUGAGGACAUCAUGCAGACCCAAAGCCAUGGAUUUCAUUGAGUUUAAGGGCAGAAGAUCACCAAACUGCCUGCAGAUUAGACAUUUAACCAGUAAAGUUUUGCCUAGUUGCUUGUCACUUGAGCCCCUAGGCACAAAUUAGACAAAAGCACACGAAUCCUCAUGGAACAGAGCUACUAAUUGCCACCAGCAAAAAGCAGGAUUCACCCUGCUAACAGCCACACCCAAUUGCUCUGCCAAAAUCUCCUGGUAGGGGAACCAGGCAAUGUCAUCCCGGUGUGGGGAAAAAGAGCUUCACUGUAGCCCCAAAUUAGACAUCAGGUAUGUAGAUAAGGAAGAUGGGGAAUUCUCUGUCCAUUUCACAUCCCACCUCCUCAAGACUUACAAGGUUUUCCUCACCCUUGUGUUGUGCUGUGGAUCCCUCCCAACAACCCUCUAGAAGUGCAGACAAGGAAAAUGUAUUGCACUGAUCCUACCAGGGCCGCAUUGGAGAAGGACAACUCCUUCCCUAUUUCUCUUUGAUGGACCUCCAGGAGACCCUGGUAGGUCCAAGACUUCCUUAAGCCCCUAUUUUGCUCCAGCUUGAUGUUGAGCUCCUGCUAAGGCCCUGAGAGCUGCUGCUGGAGUGAUGACCUCAGCCCUUGUCUGAGCCACUGCUUGCCAAGCCCAUGCAUCCCACCCUGGGGCUGUCAUCAGUAUUUAUCUCCGUUUCCAUUGGCAAAGAGUGAUUGAUUUGAAGGAAGGGGAAGCUGAACUGCCCACGCCAUCUGUGGGACCAUCCAUCAGCUGUGGGGGUCACAGUCUUAUACCUGCACAGGAGCAGGGGGGUUGUCUUGGGCCUGGCCACCAACUGGCACGCUCCUGGAGACCUCCCCAUGCCCCAGGCCUCUCAUGGUUGCAGACUUGGCAGCUGGCGCAAGCUGGCCCCCAUGCACAUCUUUCCCUAAAUAUUAUGUUUUUCAGGGUGUUGGUUUUAGCUGUUGUAUUUGGCAGGUUUCCUUCAUUGCCUUUAGCAGCAACAACUUACUGAUAGGAAGGAAAAUUUGAGGACAUUAGCGGCUUAUUCCAGCUCCCCUACUUUGUCUCUUACACACGCACAUGCCACUCUCUUACCACCAUGCCAAGAAAUGGGGCCAGGUGGUAAGGAUUGGUGCUCAGGGCAGUAUAUACCUGUAUAUUCCUCCUUGCAGAACAUUUCCAGGACCAGACUUUCUCUCUGUGUUUUGUUUUUUGGAUAAUGUUCACCAACUUCUUGAUAGCAUGAGAUGUGGGGUAGAUCAAGAGGUUCAGAUUUCUCUGUUGGGAGACAUGUACAGAGCUUUUGUCCUUCUUAACACUGCAGGCCGGCAUUUCAAAACUCCCUCUUAAAUGCCGAAAAAGUAGCUACUCUCUCAUCAGAGUUCAGAUCCUGUGUGCUGCCUGUCUGUAAGGACCUCAGUGGAUAUAAUGGUUGCUCCCUGCCAAUUUCUGAAAAACUUGGUCUUAUUUCUACAGCUACUUUUGAAUGUUUCAGCCACACAAAUACAUGGUCAGAAGAAAGAGGAAAUGGGAGCUGGAGGGAGGUGGGAAGAGAAGGAGAGAGAAGAUUCAUCUCUUCUUCCUAACACAGUUCUUUGAUCUGCGAAUAGGAGUUAUUACCCCAGCAUUAGGAUUUGGGUUGAAGGCUUAUAGCAAAAAGACAUGUAAAAUCCCUCCCCUACUCUGAGGAAAACAUGCAUAAGCGGAAAUAAAUACAUAAAAUUCAACUGAGACAUCAGAUGCUUACCAAGGCCACCCAGUGAGUUGGCUAUUAUUCUCGACCAUCUUUCUGUUCUAUAUUUGUGCAUGUCUUUCACUGUGGGGUGCUUGGCUUGAAGGGGGACCAGGACCUACCACUGCUAUGCCAAUGGUGAAGUGAGGCCUCCUGUGCUUCAUGUGCUGAGCUUUGCUAUGCUCACCUUGCCAAGUGUUCUUCAGAAGCAGCCGGGAAGCUCCUCAGGGUGGAAUACGUAGGGAAGGAAAGCUCUUUGGCAGGGCUGAUUUCUGAACACAGUGGAUGGGCUUCAUCUUACUCAACACUAGCUGCUGGAAGGUAACUGCUGAGCAACGAGUCCUUCCUAUUUCCAUUCCCACUAGAGCAAGUGAAGAAAAAUGGAAGAAGAAGAAUCAUUUACCCAGGAUCUUCAUGACCUGGGACCUCUUGGGAUGUGAGAUGAAUCCCACCCCGAGGAGCUUUGCGGGUUUCAGUCCAGUUUACUGAGCGCAGGAGUGCAGGGCCAGCCCUUGUCCCUCAGUUUGUUCUACAGACUUUGCCUUGCCUUUUGGGAGCUCCCAGUGUAGCCAAAACCAAUGUCAUCUCCUAGGUUUUACUCUGAAAAUGGGGGGCUGUACACAAGGGCUAGUUAUUCCUAAUCCCUGGUGGUUCAAGACCAGCUGGUGCGGCUUUACAGGAGCAGGGGGCUGAGUCCCCUCCCAGGACCAUUGCCUGUUGUGCACUGUACAUGCUCUGGAGUUCAGCUGCAGAGACAUCCAGCUCCCCUGUUUAUGCUGCAGCUGCCUCCCAAACACCAUUUGAGGAUCCAGGCGAGACAAGAGCACUUCUUGUACUGCAUGCAAUAUAUACAAAUUACAGGAUAAUUUCUGUCUCCAGGAAUUCACAGUCUAAAUUAAGACAAGACUGCAGUGACAGAUGUCACGAGAACUGGCAACAGGGAGAAAGGAGGAUGGGAAAUAGGAACCUUGCUACAAUCUCAACCUUCUUUUAGCACACUGCCGUUUGUUUAAAGCAAACUCUCCUGUUUUCUGGAAUGAAGUCCCAGCACAUCCCACUUCUCUCCUGUUUAUCUCUGUCAGUAUCUGGUGCUUAUAUUGCAUUUCUAGAUACAUAAUGGAUCAACUUCACAUAUGGUAUUAAUAAACAGUGGGUAUCUGCACAGAGUGGUCGCAAAGAGCAUCUGACUGAUUGCAUUGCAGAAAGACGCCUGGAACUGGGGUUGUUUUCCCAGAUGAACAUAGGCAGGACAUAUACGAGACCAUUUUUUUCCCCAUUCCUUCUCAUCACAUACAUAUUUUCAGGACUCAAAGUCUGGACAAGCAGAACAUCGCGAUGUCAACCAAGGGAAGAUGUAAAUCUCCUUAAGUAAUUUUUAAUGAAAAAAAAUAUUGAGUUACUCUGAGUGCCAUAGUUUCUGGGUGGCUGGCUUUAACUUUAGCAAUCCAUACUUAAAGGGAAAUUUUACAGUCUUAAUAUAUUCCAGAUGCUCUCCUAGUCCCAGAUGAAAGCUCUGUUGUCGUUUACUGUUAAUAUUUUUGUCAGCAGUAGAAUUUUAUUGUAAUACCCCAUCUUAUUUGUAGUCACUAUUAGUCAUGAGAGAAACUUCCUCUACAAGUAAUCCCUGGGUCACUCCUUGAGUGUCCUGUCUCACUCUAUUUAAUUAAAAACCAUUAACUGCUUGUUGUGUCCAAGACUUGUCUAUAUAAUGCAUGUAUAUAAUGACUUUUUACCUGAUGAAAACCAUUUGCUUCUAGCAGUUAGACUAAAAAAAAUACAGUUAUACUCUACAGUAACAAUAGUUGGCUUUAUAACAGCUCUCCGGUGGAAUGAAAACAAGAGAUUUGCUUUGAAAAUAAACCUCCAUGAACUUGGAUUGACAACAAGGGACGGGAAGGUUUACUGCAAAAACAAGAAAUGUAUUUCACGCUGUUAAACUUUGAUCAGAUGUUAGUUUCUCACAAGGAGAAUAGUACUUAAACAUGGCUAUUUUGAUCCUUUGUAGUGACCAAUGGUCUGAUUACAGAGGGAAGGGGAUUUGGGUGAACACAAGAGAGCAGAUUAUCAAAGUACAAGUCCUCUGGAUGGACAUCUGAGGACCUUCCUUGUUCAGUGAGGAGCAGCUAGAACAAAAAAAAAAGUCACUACAUGAUGGGCUCCAUAUGAUAUUCAGUUAGUAUGCAAUUGGAAGCUGCUCUGUUAUUUUUUUUCUCACCACUGCCUCUGAAGAUUAACCUGGAUUUUGAAAAAUCAAGUCUCGUGGCUCCUGCUUUUGCCUCACUACCCGGUGACAUACAUGCUCCCAAUGCUGUGGCCAACUCUUGGGCCAGCUCCUCAGCACCAUCAGCAGGGUUCUGCUCUUUGGAAAAAAAGUCUUCCCUGGCUAGAGCAGUGGCAGGGAUUAAGUUUGCUGCAUCCUGAGGUGCUGCAUGGGGACUUGACAAGGAUGAAGCAUGUCAUUUAGUCCUGGGCUGUCUUAUCAACAUGAACACACUAGGCUAUGAGCCACACCAAUAGUGAUCUCUCUGACACAUGGGACAUUCCCACAUUGGAUCCCAUGAGGGAAAUGUUUUACAACAUGAUGGGAGCCUGUGCAAGUAUAAUAAAGCAACAGAAAGUGGUUGCUGGUUUUGAGUGAAGUCUCUGCUGGGCAGCACAACUCCAGGCUGUGGCGUUGCCACCACAGCCCUUUCUGUUUCCUGAUACAGCCUUGCAGAUGCAGCCAGUCAGUGGUGGAACAGGUGAACCAGCUGUGUCAGACAGGUGGAAUCUGGUCAUGGCUGUAGGAUGGUGCGCAGUGGGACCUGGCUGUGCAAGUCUUGCACACACAUUCUACAUGUGAUUUGGCUGGGCAAACUAUCACUGAGAUGUCCAAGACUGUGGACGCCCUAUUCUGUGUUAAUUCUGACAAACCCUGGUGAUGCUGAACCUCACCAAGAUGAAGCAAGGGCCUUCUAAAAGGACUUAUCUUUGCACCCUGCUGUGAUGUCCAGCAGCUGAACAUCUCCUAAGAAGGAGAUGGCUACUGGAGUCCUGUACCCCAAUUUACUAAACAGUGUUUAUGCCAUAAUUAGUGCCUUUAAGUCUUGACUAGAAUCUGGUUUUGCUCAGUGACGGACGAAUUUUAUUCCAGAAGGGUUCCUACUCCACAAACCUAAAACCAGAAGAAUAUCUAGAGAACCUAAUAAGUAUUGGGGAGUAUGAGCUCUGUGUUGAACUCCAUACCCAGAAAUCCCACUGCAAACAGGAGCCAUAACUUGCUAAUUUAAAGCUGCCUCUGGAAUAUGCUACGUGAACUGCAGCUGGGACAUAAACCUGUAAGAAGAUUGGGAUAUGGACAUCUUAUUUAAAGCCAUGGAUGAAUUUAUCCAUGAAAGGUGCAAGAUGGUGGCAGGGGGGGGAAGGAAAUGCUGUCUUUGCAAGCAUGACUUUGUUGAAGGAGUCUAAUUGGACUGGAACUCCCAUAUUUGCUCUGCCCUCUUGUCAAGACCCAGACUGGACAGACCAGGGAGUCAUGUUUAAUUAGAAAUUCCCUCGGGCUAAAUUAAGGUGAAACGACACCAAACGAUCAGUUAAAGAUUUUAUUCAUGACAGAAGCAAACUGAACUGGGGAGGCAUGGUAGUAGAUGGCAGGGUUUCUCACAACAGGAAUUGGCAUAAGACUACUUCUGUAAACUGUGUAACCAUAUACAUCAAUUCAGGGAACAAGGAGAUCCCUCCCGUUGAGUCACGAGGUUCAGAGCAGACCCCUUUGCUUUCUAGACUCCUCCUCAGAGAAGGGCCCAGGGGCAGCUGGAUCCACUCUUAGUCUCAGACUUGGUCAACGGUUUAUAUCUUGAAAUGGAUGAGGUGUGGGGAUUGUGGAAAAGGAAAAGGAAAGAGAGAAGAAGACAGAGAGAGAGAAAGGAAGAGAGAAAGAUUUCACCG